GCAGGUGUGCGGCUGUGGAGAUGAUGGUGCCUGUACCACUGCCCCGGGAGUAAAAGGCACCUGACUUAUGAGAUGCUUCUCCUUUGCUUUAAAGACCAGUGAUGAUGGUUCUCUUUGCAGAAUUCAGUCAACCUUGGAUGGAGGUGCUUUUCUGAACUGCCAUGAAUGGGGUUUGGGGCUUACCCCCAACAACUGGAGCCAGGGAUGUCUAUCCCAGUCAUCAGAAAACAGCAUCUUCAGCAACCACAAAAAGUUCUGAUGGAAUUGCAGUUCCUCUGGUCAUCUUCCCCUAUCAUUUCUUGCCCUCUGGGAAUAUGGAUCAAAAUUCUUUAUGGGGUGCAGAAGGUGGAAGUUCUGGCUUCUGUAAUUGCUUCUCCACUGGACAUGGAAGUUGAUAGGUGGAUCCAUACCUCCAGCUUGUUUCUAUCUUUCCCUAGUAAGACUCGCUCUUCCUGCACAAGCAGAUACAGACUUCUAGGGGAAAAAAUGAAGUGUGUGUGUGUGUGUG